rnacentral:rRNA from 1 species
UACGUAGGGAGCAAGCGUUGUCCGGAAUCAUUGGCGUAAAGCGCGCGUAGGUGGCUUCGUAAGUCCGUUGUGAAAGUCAAGGCUCAACCUUUGAAAGCCGAUGGAUACUGCGGAGCUAGAGUACGGAAGAGGCGAGUGGAAUUCCUGGUGUAGCGGUGGAAUGCGUAGAGAUCCGGAAGAACACCGGUGGCGAAGGCGGUGAGC